UGCAAAUGUAGUGUAACUAACUAAAAUUGGAUUUGAUACAGAGAAGAUUAGCAUGGCCACCUGCGCAAAGGCAAGGAUGAAGCAGUCCACUUUUUU